rnacentral:rRNA from 1 species
UACGUAGGGGGCAAGCGUUAUCCGGAAUUACUGGGUGUAAAGGGAGCGUAGACGGUAAUGUAAGUCUGGAGUGAAAGGCGGGGGCUCAACCCCCGGACUGCUCUGGAAACUGUACGGCUGGAGUGCAGGAGAGGUAAGUGGAAUUCCUAGUGUAGCGGUGAAAUGCGUAGAUAUAAGGAAGAACACCAGUGGCGAAGGCGGAUGACUGGACGGCAACUGACGGUGAGGCGCGAAAGCGUGGGGAGCAAACAGG